GGCAAACUGCCUGCCCUACAGCACCCAAUGUCACAGGAAGGCCAAAAAGAUCAUCAAGGACAACAACCACCCAAGCCACUGCCUGUUCACCCCGCUAUCAUCCAGAAGGCGAGCUUCCCAGGCAACCAUCACAGCAGGAAUGCUGUGAUACGAAACCAGCUUUCCCAAGGCAAAGAAGGGGAUGUAUGUUGUAAAGACAGACCCAACAUUCUGUCACGCUUGAUCCAGCGCCGUAUGUAAGGAAGCUGUGCAAGCAGUCCAUCCCAAGACCCAUGUUUGCACAGUGUGAGGCCUGACAAGGAGGAUGUCAUAACUGGAUUUGUAUCCUGCUUCAAUCGUGGGGGUGACUGAAGCCAAGGAGGAGGUCAGAGACCUGGCAGUGUGGUGCCAGGACAACAACCUCUCCCUCAACGUGAGCAAGACAAAGGAGAUGAUCGUGGACUACAGGAAAAGGAGGGCCGAAAACGCCCCCAUUCACAUCGACGAGGCUGCUGUGGAGCGGGUUGAGAGUUUCAAGUUCCUUGGUAUCCACAUCACAAACAAACUAUCAUGGUCCAAACACACCAAGAAAGUUGUGAAGAGCGCACAACAACGCAUUUUCCCCCACAGGAGACUAAAAUGAUUUGGAAUGGGUCCCCUGAUCCUCAAAAAGUUCUACAGCUGCACCAUCGAGAGCAUCUUGACCGGUUGCAUCACCGCCUGGUAUGGCAACUACUUGGCAUCAGACCGUAAGGCGCUAGAGAGAGUAGUGUGUACAACCCAGUACAUCACUGGGGCCAAGCUUCCUGCCAUCCAGGACCUAUAUGCCAGGCAGUGCCAGAGGAAGGCCCAAAAAAUGGUCAAAGACUCCAGUCACCCAAGUCAUUGACUGUUCUCUCUGCUACCACACGGCAAGCAGUACCGGGGCGCCAAGUCUAGGUCUAAAAGGCUCCUUAACAGCUUCUACCUUGAAACCAUAAUACUGCUGAACAAUGAAUCAAAUGGCCACCCAGACUAUUUACAUUGACGCCCACACACCCCGCCACCCCUUUGUUUUUACACUGCUGCUACUUGCUGUUUAUUAUCUAUGCAUAGUCACUUUACCCCUACCUACAUGUACAAAUUACUUCAGCUAACCUGUAACCGCGCACAUUGACUCAGUACCGGUACCCCCUGUAUAUAGCCUCAUUAUUGUUAUUUUAUUUUGUUACUUUUUAUUUCGACUUUAUUUAGUUUAUUUAGUAAAUAUUUUCAUAACUGUAUUUUCUUAAAACUGCAUUGUUGGUUAAGGGCGUGUAAGUAAGCAUUUCACUGUAAGGUCUACCUGUUCAGCACAUGUGACAAAUAAAAUUGAUUUGAUUUAAUACAG
rnacentral:lncRNA from 1 species